ensembl:lncRNA
AUGCAAAACACUUUGCAUAAAGACUUGCCAUCCGAUCUAAUGAUAGAGUCUGCAGUCUCGUUUCCAGAGAGGGAGGCACCAGCAAAGCCUGCAACACCGAGUGAUGGAGGAAAAAACUACCAUGAUAAAACCAGACAAACUGCACAUAAGAACACGUCCUAUUGUCCAGGUGUUUCUGAGGAUAAAAAUCGUUUUGGUUUUGACUCUGGGCAGAAAAAAACUAAACAAGAAGAAGAAAUGCAAACACGAGGAGGAAGUCAAAUCCAUUUUGCCUCAUGUGUCUGCGGUGAGGAGCAGAUAAGCCAGAGGACAGGUUAAUCGGUGGUACGGAAGAAGCACAUUUAAUGGAGCACACUAUUGUGUCCAUGGCUCAUAAGCAUCCUGUAUCUAUGUUUACUCUUUGUCUACUUAAGCAAAAAAGUCAGAUUUCUACGCAAUUAAUAAAAGCAGUAUACAUACGUGUUGUUUGUUAAAAGUCUACAAACUGCAUGCCUUUCAGGUGUGCACUGUGCGGCACAUUCUGUGUGUAUAUGCACAUAAUAAACACUUGUGCUGCCUGACAGAGGUGUGAAUCUGAGAGCUUUUCUACCAAAUGAAGUGCCAGCAGAGAGAGAAAUAAAGAGAUCUGCAGCUGUCAGGGGUCAGUCAGGCAGAGAUUGCUUCUAGAGAUCUUUUGAAAAAAUCACACGUUUGAAGGCUUAGUGCUUUGCUGUCUUCGCAUUUCAAGCUCAGAUCAGUGGAAUCAGAAAAAAAAAAGAGGGGAGAACAUGGGUUGGAGGAUUGUGAUGUUGGGAUGGACACGGGACGAGUCAUUUCACCUGAUCCUUCAGAGGAAGGAGGAGAGCCCAAGUUUUUGUUCUUACAUUAAAACAUGUAUCACAUAAGCAACAGUCUCCAAUUCAUCUCUCCCUCCCUCUGUGUGUGUGUGUGUGUGUGUGUGUGUGUGUUGUGUUGUACAAAACCUACUACACUCCUCUAAUUUCCUGUGUGUGCGUCGACAGAAAGAAGGAGUGAAGGAAAACAAUUCUGAAGUGUUUCAUGACUCUCCAAAGGAUUCAGUUUGUUGUUGUUGUUGUUAAACAACCUUUAUAGUUACAAUUUUAAGCCUUUCUUCAACACCGAACACUCGGGUGCUGUUUAGGCACAAGGAGACAUAAAUAGGGAUUUAAAUGAGGACUGUUAUACCCUUAAUUAUUAAUAAUCUUCCAAAUGCAACUCCCCCCUUUAGCUGUCACUCUGCUGUGGUUUUGUGCCAAAACGAAAACGGAACGUCUUGCUGUAUUUUGUGGUGAUCACUCACGGUUCUUAUUUCAAUCGUCUGUUAUACUUGUAUGAUUCCAUAGAUUAAGACGUUGCUUUUUUACACUCCAGUUUACAGUGUUGAAGUCAAGCAGGGAAGGAAAGUACAUGAGUGGUAAGUUAUUACAAGGAAGAGGUCCGCUGUCUGAUGAUGACUAAACUGUAACCAAAGAAAGGAAAGACAAUUAAAAAUCCACAUUUUCAUUCAAGGAAGGAAUUACAUAAAGGAAGACAUGGAAAGGUUAUGGUUUUUAACUAACUAUAUUCACACUAACCCACUGGUACCUUCCUCUCUUUCCCUUUCACACAGACACACACAGAACAACUCAAGCUGUUUCAGCCAAUCACAGCUUAGGUCAAAAAACAAGCGUUGGAAGUUUCUUUUCAUUUGGGAUUUUUUAUAAAAACUGUUGGAAAACAUACAUUUCAUGUGGUUAAAUAAGAUUAGAUGUUUUUUCCCACAUAAUCGUCGCCAUUAUCAUCCUGGAAAGUUCCACUGGUUCUUUUAAAAAACUUUUAAAUCUAGAAAAUAAAUAAAUGAGUAUGAUUCUCAUCAGGUUGUCUGACUUCUUCUAGAUUUGAAUGAAUAACAACCUUUUCUUAAACACAACACCCUCUUUAAUGUCAGGAGAGACAACAGUUUGCACUUUGAUCCCUGACUCGUCUGACAGUGGCCCCUCAGUGGGGUCUAACGUUAUUUGACAGCCAAGGUUUCAGUGUAUUUAGAGGCUGUUGAAGAAUUUUUAAACGGAGUAAUAAAUUAAAUCUGUUGAAGUUGAAAUAAGAGCGAAGCAAACUAAAGAGAAACGGUUACGCUCAAACAGAUAAGGCUCAAAGGUUAAAUAAGCAUAUUAUGACAGAUUUUUUGAAUGAUCAUUUUGACUUUGUGUCUUUCAGAUAAUAAUAAAAAAAAUCUUUUCUUCAAGGAGCUUUUACCUUGAAAUCCUCUUGUUUUCAAUCACAAGUGAGUUCUGGAGAAACAUAUCGUGUUAAUGUGAACUGUAACUUCUGAGGAAAUAUCGUAACAGCUUCUCUUUUUUCAUACAUGUCAUGUGAUUUCUUUCACCUGCUUCUUAGCGUGGAGCCAAAAUAUGCAAAUCCCAUCAGAUUCAUAACACUCAGUGCCUUUCAGUCGUUCAUGUGCUUCUGCUGUGGUGUAUUAUUAUUUUCAAGGGUUCUCAGCAGGACAUAAAAGGAUCAUAAGUUAUUCUUCCACCUGACAAAAAUAUUUCAUCCUCCCUCCGUUUCAAAGAUGGACUCAAGUAAAAGUGAUAAUGACGUGAUUUAUUACCGUCUGAAUGGAUGACGGCGAGCUGAUUGCUCACGACCGGGAUUCAUGCAAUGCUGCAUAUGAAACUAAAUAUAAAUUGACAGAGAAUUUUUUCGAUGAAGUCAAAAAAUCUUUCAUGUGACAGCAUAACGCGCUCAUUAAAUCAUCCGCAGAACAGGUGAUACAAACAUUUUCAUUCAAACGACCACAAAGAAAGAAAAACACGGGACUUAAAGUGGAAAACGAGAGCUGAAUGCUGUCGGAGAGAAAAGACCCUCGGUGAACUCUGAGGCUUUUGUUUUUCCUGUUUGUAGCAUUAUUUAAAGUUUUCCGACUCACUGAAACUUUGUCCUUCUAGUCAUUUGCAUUUCUAGUUCAUAAUGUAGAUUUGGUGUGGGUGUUCAGCCUCUUCCUAUCAUGGAUUAGCGAUGUGCUCUUUUCCUUGUAAAGGAUUUUAAUUUUCUCAUACGCUGGCCUGCGUUGGUUCGCUCCAACAGAAAGACGUCUGAUGGUCCCGGUGUCAAAGAGCUCUGAUCUGGGCCGUGACAGCUUAGUCGAAUCGGCCUGUUCAACAUGCCGGUUUGACUGUCACUUUCAAUUUUCACAUGACCCCUUGGUCCUAGAAUGGGGGAUAAGUGGCAGAAAGUACGACUGAAAGCUCAAAUUAUUGGUCUGACAGCUUCACUCAUCUGAAAGUAAUGCAAAAUGCAGUUCAUAUUUAUACUCUGACCCUUUGCUCAAACAGGGAAUAUACUGUAUCUGCAUGUUAUGUUUUGAGACAAAGGCCAUGUUGGAGGGGGGGGGGGGGGGGUUCUGCAUUAUAAUUCGUCAAAAUGCACAUUCGUUUCCUUCUAAUUAUUCAGCAGAUGUUACUCAAAGAUAAAGUGCGCAACUCCCUUUUACAGUUGCUUUGCAAUAAAUAUGUUAACUAAAUGCCGUUUAGAUAGAACAACAUAUGGAUUGUUUUUGGUGCAGAAUGUAAAACUGUUUUUGCUUCAAAGAAAACACAGUUUGUGUUGCAGUUCGUGCACAGCUGGUCAUAUCGUCAAUGUCCUCCCCGGGAUGUUUUAUCUGAGCCGUAUUCAUGCACAUGUAGGCCAUAAAAGAUCAGCGGCUGGUGGACGUGGUCAUUAUCAGACAUGGUGCUAGACAGAGGGAGGGGUUCAUUGUUCACUCUGCGCUGCCGGCCCACUGACUGAAUAAGGUGUGUUCAUUGUUCAUUCUCUCGCUGUAGAAGCCACAGUCUCCAGUUUAUCCGCCAGGGUUGUUACAGUAGCUCUGAAACAUGAUGCGUCGACCAUCACAUUUUGUCAUUUGCUUAAAAAAAAACCUGAAAUAUUUGCAAUUACCUUCCACAAGGAAAACAUCCACAUAGCAGUUUAACCAAAGGACUGUAAAUGAAUGACGGUGUUUGGUUUUAAGAAAAAAGAACUACUCCGAUGGCGUUAAAUAUGUUAAACAACUCCCAAAAGGGUAAUCAACUUGGACAUGAUGGACGCGGUUUAUUUUAUUCCUUUAUUCGGCAACGCUGUUGCUACAAUAUGAGCCAAUUGUCAUAAUUCAGUGACAUCUGUGUGUGCGUCUGUCAUAACUCCAGCAGCAAACAUGCAGAGUUGGUUGACGGAGCACGAAAGGUUGUUGCUGUGGUUCCAUUUCCCUGUAUAAUCCACACUUCUUGUCCCCUGCCUGCCCUCCUAAUCCCUUGGCAUGUGUUGGUGACAUCACAUGGCUGCUGGCUCCAAGUUCUCGUCCCCCUGCAACUGUCAUUAACUCUGUGAACAAAUGAAUAAUGACUGGGAGACUCGCCGGCUCCCACCACUGACCCUGGGUAUUAUUAGAGUGACCUCUCUUUGGCUUGACCAAAAAACCUUUCUGAUAUCAUUGCUGGGAGUACACUAGGAAUGAUGGCCUGUCU